GGGCGCGGGGCGCUCGUCAUGUCCGUGCUCACCUCUCAAGUCAUUUACCACAUCAUCGCCCUCAGGCCUCCCUCGGGCACCCUGUUGAACAUCACAAAGUUGGAGAGGGCAUUCCUAUGGGCGGGCUCCAAUCAAACAACCGGGGCAAAGUGUAAGGUUAACUGGAGCUCAGUCUGCCGGCCGACUAACCUUGGAGGGCUUGGCGUCCUGGACUUGACUAAGUUUGCGAGAGCCCUUCAGCUUAGAUGGAUGUGGUUGGAGUGGACUGAGCCUUCCAAGAUGUGGACUGGAAUG
rnacentral:rRNA from 1 species